UUUGAAAAUGAGAAUCCUUUCCACCGUAUAACAACUCCAUUUUUCCCAGGUAUGUAUGAUCUUCAAUGCCAGAGAGCUAACCCUGGUGGACUAUGGAAAUAACGACACCUUGGGUUAUGUAUGCACUGAAUUCAUGAACCCCCACCUCCUCAGUGUUCGUAUUAAUGAGCGGUGUCAGCAAGGAACAGAAGAUCAUAAGAAAUAGACUUAUCUUGUUGGUAUUAAGAGUAUUGCUAUAGGGUGAUGUUGUAGGUCUGGAGCGGGGCGGGGGAAAGACCGAGGUGAUGGUGAUGGAAGGUGUGACUGCUGUUGCCUACACACUGGAUGAAGGCCUCAUCGAGUUUGGAACAGCCAUUGAUGAUGGCAAUUACACCCGGGCAACAGCUUUCUUAGAGACUCUGGAAAUGACCCCAGAAACAGAGGCAAUGUGGAAAACCUUGAGUCACUGGCGCUAGAGGCAAGGCAACUACACAUUGCGGAGAGGUGCUUUUCUGCUUUGGGCCAAGUAGCAAAAGCUCGAUUCCUGCAUGAGACCAAUGAGAUUGCAGAUCGAGUAUCCCGGGAAUAU